AAUUAUGUAUCAGGGUGUGUCAUCCACAUGCAUGUUUCCACAAAUGUUGAUAUGUAACCAAUUCAUGAGACUUGCACCUAUUAGAGGUCAACUACUUGGCUGAGUUCUGCUCAGCCACAGAAUCUACACAGCCGGCUUGUAUGGUUGCUGUGUUGCUGCCUGCAUCGGAUAUGGGACACAUUCCAAUAAGGACCCAUCCUAUGGCACUCAAUCUUCCAGCUCAUUUCCUGGUGUCACAACUAUAUCCAGCAAAGUGUAGACUCAUCCUGAUGUAGUCCUGCUCCUGGACAGGGUAUUGAUGAUUCAACCCCAUCAUUCCUUUUGUUACGGAUGACCAACAAAAGCGAGACCCUCCCAACAGGCUGUCUAUCUAGAACAUACAACACACCAGGGGAAAGGGUGCAAAGGGAAGAUGGAAACAAAUAAACAGCUAGAAACAGAACAAUUGCUGCAAAUAAUUAUCUCCACAUAAUGUGCUCAAGAUACCAGAAUUUUCCCUUUGGACUCAUCCCUGGACUUAGAACUCAGGAAGCAUUUUGAUCCCACAAAGACACAAAAGAAAUCUCAAACCUAUCAUCCUGGGAUUGCUAGCCAAUUUUGUAUGAUGUACUGUAUAUGCUCAUGUAUAUGUCGAGGACAGGUUUGGGAAUUAAAAUUAUGAAUUUUUAUGUGACUUGUGGAUAACUUGAAGUUCAUUCUGCAGAGAGGGGAACACAUCAGUGUUGCCUUAGGGGGCCGGCCACCCCUGGUCACCACCAUUCUCCACCUAGGCAUUCCGAAAGGUCAGAAGUAGCACCAUGGUUGAAAGUAGAGGGGGUCAGUGCUUCUUUUAUAUUCUUCCAGAAAGGAGUGAGCUUUUGCCUUUUGUCAUUCUACUAAGAGAAGGGAAUGGUUGCUUUUGUAUACAGGCAAUCUCUGGGUUACAGACAAGAUAAGUUAUGAUAUAAUAAUACUUUAUUAAUAGGCCACCCUAUCUCCCUGAGGUUCUGUAGAUUUGUUCUCAAGUUGAAUUUCUAUGUAUGUCAAAACAGGCACAUUAUUUAAGUGUAACUCCAGCCCAAUUUUUUAAAAGUUAACAUCCCUGUAACAUUUCUUUUUCUGCUUGUGUCCCUUUUCAGAAGAUUUCACCUCACUUUCUGUCUCUGUGACUAUAGGAUAUUGAAAAAUUUGGCUUGUCAUGGAAAC